AAAUUGAAGAGUUUGAUCAUGGCUCAGAUUGAACGCUGGCGGCAGGCCUAACACAUGCAAGUCGAACGGUAACAGGAAGCAGCUUGCUGCUUCGCUGACGAGUGGCGGACGGGUGAGUAAUGUCUGGGAAACUGCCUGAUGGAGGGGGAUAACUACUGGAAACGGUGGCUAAUACCGCAUAACGUCGCAAGACCAAAGAGGGGGACCUUCGGGCCUCUUGCCAUCAGAUGUGCCCAGAUGGGAUUAGCUUGUUGGUGAGGUAACGGCUCACCAAGGCGACGAUCCCUAGCUGGUCUGAGAGGAUGACCAGCCACACUGGAACUGAGACACGGUCCAGACUCCUACGGGAGGCAGCAGUGGGGAAUAUUGCACAAUGGGCGCAAGCCUGAUGCAGCCAUGCCGCGUGUAUGAAGAAGGCCUUCGGGUUGUAAAGUACUUUCAGCGGGGAGGAAGGUGUUG
rnacentral:rRNA from 30 species